UACGUAGGGACCGAGCGUUGUCCGGAAUCAUUGGGCGUAAAGAGCGUGUAGGCGGCCCGGUAAGUCCGCUGUGAAAGUCCAGGGCUCAACCCUGGGAUGCCGGUGGAUACUGUCGGGCUCGAGUCCGGAAGAGGCGAGUGGAAUUCCUGGUGUAGCGGUGAAAUGCGCAGAUAUCAGGAGGAACACCAAUGGCGAAGGCAGCUCGCUGGGACGUGACUGACGCUGAGACGCGAAAGCGUGGGGAGCAAACAGG
rnacentral:rRNA from 1 species